GCGUGGCGGGCUGCAUGAGAAUGCAAGUCGACGAAGGAUCGGGCUUGCUCGAUCCUUAGUGGCGGACGGCUGAGUAACGCGUAGGUGACCUGCCCCGAAGUGGGGAAUAACUGCCCGAAAGGGUGGCUAAUACCGCAUGUGGUCGGACGUUCAUUCGUCCGAGUAAAGCCGCAAGGCGCUUCGGGAGGGGCCUGCGUCCGAUUAGCUCGUUGGUGGGGUAAUGGCCUACCAAGGCGACGAUCGGUAGGUGGUCUGAGAGGACGAUCACCCAGACUGGGACUGAGACACGGCCCAGACUCCUACGGGAGGCAGCAGUCGGGAAUUUUGCUCAAUGGGGGAAACCCUGAAGCAGCAACGCCGCGUGAGGGAUGACGGCCUUCGGGUUGUAAACCUCUUCUGUCAGGGACGAUAAUGACGGUACCUGGCGAAUAAGCCACGGCUAACUACGUGCCAGCAGCCGCGGUAAUACGUAGGUGGCAAGCGUUGUCCGGAUUUACUGGGCGUAAAGAGCGCGCAGGCGGUCGGAUAAGUCGAGUGUGAAAGCCCCUGGCUCAACCAGGGAGGGUCACUCGAUACUGUUCGACUCGAAGGCAGGAGAGGGAAGUGGAAUUCCGGGUGUAGUGGUGAAAUGCGUAGAUAUCCGGAGGAACACCAGUGGCGAAGGCGACUUUCUGGCCUGUUCUUGACGCUGAGGCGCGAAAGCUAGGGGAGCAAACGGGAUUAGAUACCCCGGUAGUCCUAGCCGUAAACGAUGGACACUAGGUGUUGGUGGUAUCAACCCCGCCAGUGCCGUAGCUAACGCAUUAAGUGUCCCGCCUGGGGAGUACGGCCGCAAGGCUAAAACUCAAAGGAAUUGACGG
rnacentral:rRNA from 1 species